rnacentral:lncRNA from 1 species
UUCCUCAACCUCCUGAGCUCUGGAGUUACGUGCUUGCCCCACACCCCAGAGUGCCUUAUUUAUAGACAGGGAAUCUGCCCAAGUCAACUUCUCACUGGACAUGAAGAAGCUGAUAUUUAGGGGUUGGAGAGAUGGCUCAGCAUUGGAGCACCUGCUACUCUUCCAGAGGAGGAAAGGACAGAUUUCAGCACCUACAGGGCAACUCAGAACGGUGACUCUACAUCGUGUCAAGUUGACAAAACCUUACCAGCACACUAUCCAAGAGCUGGCCUUGGAUUGUGGGAAGGUCUCCUAGUUGGUGCCAUGCUGGGAGGUCCUAGGAACCCUGGAGACAGCCUGAUACUCUCUUUGCCUCUAUAUUUCCGGGUGUAAGUUGUGGGCAUUCACAACCUUUCUUACAUCGUGGGCUUCCAGAAACACCCCUGGCACUGGAUUAGGAUGCUUUGAACGUAGUAUUGCAAAGGCACAUCUAAGAUGUGGUUGUCACUGAGAAAGCUUAAGCCUAAAUCCACUUGAUGUGGGGGGAAAAUCAUGUGAGAGAAUCGUCUCAGCUCCCAUCUAGAAUCUGGACGUCCAGAAUAUGAAGCUAACCGUGUUUCCUGGGCUACGUCCCAAGUUGGGAACCAUUGAAUUAUGUACAGAGGCUGGUGUGGCUGGAGAGGCUAUUUUUUUUCCUUUGCUUUUCUUCUUUUCUUUUCUUUUUUUUUUUUUUUUUUUUUUUUAGAUUUAUUUAUUUAUUAUAUGUAAGUACACUGUAGCUUUCUUCAGAC